GGCCGGGCCGGGCCCGCAGCCCCACACCGGGACGGGAUCGCAGCGGCCGCGGGGCCUGCCCGAGAGCCGGGCGAACCUCCGCUGCCUCCAGCCGCCGGCUCUCCCCACAGCGAGAAUCCCAGAAUGGUUUGGGUGGGAAGGGAUUUAAAGCCCUUCCACUGCCAUGGCAGGGACCCCUCCCACUGUCCCAGGCUGCUCCAAGCCCAGUGUCCAGCCUGGCCUCGGGCACUGCCAGGGAUCCAGGGGCAGCCACAGCUGCUCUGGGCACCCUGUGCCAGGGCCUGCCCACCCUGCCAGGGAACAAUUCCUAAUUCCCAAUAUCCCAUCCAUCCCUGCCCUCUGGCAGUGGAAGCCAUUCCCUGUGUUCUGUCCCUCCAUCCCUUGUCCCCAGUCCCUCUCCAGCUCUCCUGGAGCCCCUUCAGGCCCUGCAAGGGGCUCUGAGCUCUCCCUGGAGCCUUCUCCUCUCCAGCUGAGCAUGCCCAGCUCUCCAGCCUGUGCUAAACCAGUACGGACCAGUUCCUGAUCAAGUAAUGGACAAUUUUUCUUUCUGUCUAAUGAAAAUGAUGUCAUUCCUCUGGAUGAUGGAGCCACCCAAGUUUUACACCAAGGAUACAUCAAGGACCCAUUCCAGCCUGUCUUGCUGGAGGUUCAAGGACCUACCAGAGCCCAGGGCUCACCACAUGAGAUGUGAUGUUGGCCAGCAGAGCGGAUUUGCCAGCAGAAUGCUUUGAAGUGCUCAAGAACCAGAAUUAUCUCCUUCCCUGGAUGCAGAAGUCGAAGUCCAACUCCAUCCACUGCUUUACAAUCCUCAGUCCUCACACAUCUCAGCUGCUACAGCCUCCUCCUUGAACGUCCUUCAUGUCUUCAGUGGCCUUUUUUGGCUGACAGGAGAGAAAACAACCUUAAUCCUCACCAGUUCUGGCCACCAGGAACACCCCAGCCAUCCACCUCAUUCGUUCCCAGUUCCAUGCUGCUUGCUUUCCUUGGGUUUACCUUUGAAGGCUGCAGUGGCUGCUUGUCACCUCCCCUGUCCUCCUCACCUCCCGUUCCUUUUGCAGUCCAACAGUUCUCCUCAGCUGCCUCAGCUUCAGGUAUGGACAUGUUUUCCUUUUCAUUUGUCCUCGUUGACACCCUCAUGUUUUUCCUGCCCCACUGGAAAUUCACAGAACACUUGCUGAGCAAACCUAUUCGGAUUUCCAGCGUCUCUGGGAGGGGUUCCAGGAGGCUGUGGGAGCUCCCUGGCUCUCAGUAUCGGCUUUCAGGCUCCACCAGCUGGAGCACAAGCAGGGCAGUCACAGCUGCACUGUGAGCACAGCCCCUGCCUUUGUCACGGUGAUUGCACUUUCAGUCCCUCUUUUCUGUCUUGGCAACAUGAGGUCAAAGAACGCAGGUGCUUUGCUGUCUGGCAGCUUCUGCUUUGGACUUGUGGUAAAUGAGGUAGAAAAAUAUGUAGUUUUAAUCACCUAGAGGUAAUGCAGACAGUUGCAGAGAAGUAUAUGAACCAACCCAAGCUUCCUUUUAACUCUUAAACUGGUUUAAUGUAUUUUUUCUUUGGGGAGAUUUUGAAAUGGCUAUAGCAGAAAACAUUGGAUUAAACUUAGAAUCAGCUGGAACCAUUUCCAUAGCCAAGGGCAGCUGCUUUGGCCAAAGGCUUGGAGAAGGGAAUUGUUUUCACUCCUGUUCUUAAACUGUGAAAGCUCACAUGAAGCUGAUGUGCUGUUGGCCUUGUGCCUGUCCCUGUCCAAGAGUCAUCUUUGACCUGGGAUCACAUGGACCUUGGAAUUAAGAGGGAAAAAACAUCCUGUAUCUAUGGACAUAUCACAGAUGUUUUCAUUUCUCUGUUUCUAGUUUUUUUCCUUUUUAGAGUCAAAAUUACUAUAAUGAAUGUUUUGAGUGGUUUAAUUUCUGAUUCAUAAAUCAACACAGAUAUUGUUUUGUAGUCUAUAUAUUGUUUUUAUUGUACUAAAAUUUUACUCGCCAAAAUAAAAACCAGUUCUUCCAGCCUCUGAGGCUGAAAGAGACCACAUGUUGGUGGUUAGUGGUGAGUUGGCAGUGCUGGGUUAAUGGUCUUGGAGGUUUUUUCCAACUUGAAUGAUUCUGUGAUUCUAUAAAGUUUAUCUUCUUUAUUUGAAAAGAAUUCUAUUAUGUACCUAGUGGGGUCUGUCCUAUAAAUGUGCAAAUCAUUUUAUAGUUAUGUGUCUAAUAAAUCAAGACUGUGCUUUUGUCUCAGGACUGUCUGUCCAAACCAUUUGCAAACACCAUUUGUAAAUACAGGCUGCAGUCUUUAAAUUUGGGCUGUCUCUAAAAACAUCAGAACCAUCCUGACACUCCCUCAGUCUCCAGAUGAAAACUUUAUGUAUUGAACACAGAAGCUUUAUAGGGCUUGGUUUAAAUCAGUGUAAGCACUUAUAUUUUAAAAUAUUUUUUACCAUUUAUUGCUUCUGUGAUGUCCUUUGCCCCCUCCUGUGUUCUCUCAAAGGAGAGAUGCAGAUUAAAAUCCUAUGAAACAGUACACUCCAAGUCUGUCCUUGUUCACCAGCUGGAGAAGAUCCACUUGCCUGUGUUUUGACACAUUAAUUUGUUUGUCAUUAGAAUCAGAGCUGUGUGGUUUUAGGCUCAACAAACCAUUUGGGAACCUAAGCACACAGGUGAGCCGGCGGUGCUAUACCAGGCAGUGUUACUGGGAUGGGGACCUUGAGCAUCCCGCUGUCCUGUGGUUUGGUGAGGGGGCUGAGGGACACCAAGCACAAGCCUGCCUUGUGCCCAGGUGGGAUUUGCAUUCCCGGAGGGCUGCCAGGGGAAGAGGGAGCAGGCAGCUGGAGCUGGCCUGGAGGAUUGUGUGGGAAGUUGGAGGGAUUUGCUGUGCUUUGGCAGCUGCUGCCAAAGGUUGUGAGGAAUUAACAUGUAGGGACUUACUCUGAGAACUGUAGUUCUGUUAGACUGAAAUACCAGUUACUCCAAAUUUACCUGCUCAUCUCCCCUGCUGGAAUCACUGUUCCUCCUUCCUCAAACUCAAUUGUGUUCUCUCUAUGUUGGAAACCAAUCUUGGAAUUAUGCACCAGAAGACUUGUUGAAUCCCUGUUCACAAGGGAUUCAAUGAUUCUAGUACUGAGCCUUUUGUGUGUGUGUGUAAGUGUCAAUUCCAUAUUGUUCCUUUUUGUUUUCUUUGCAAAAGUGCCAGAUAGCAGUUGGAUGCCUCAUGAAGGUGUUACAGCACACCAGCACUGCAGCCUCUGUCCAGGUCCUCUCCCAGUCAGAGCACAGAGGUUACACAAAUCCACAUUGAUUGCCACUAAUGGUAUUUCUCCAGAAUCCUUGAGUAGCUCUCACUUUGCUCAGUGGCCUCUUGAAGCCUUGACUGUCCUCAUCUCCUGUCACCUUUCGGAAGGAUCUGCCAGCUGGUUUUGCUGCAGUGCUCUGGGACUGUUCCAGCUGCCUGUUUCUGGAAAAUGAGCAUUACUACUCCAGGGAAGCUCACUGCCUGAUUCCAUGUGGAAUUUCUCUGGUGUAAGUUACAGAGGUGAUCCCAAAGUUCUAACUGUAGCAGCUACUAACUUUGGAGGCAGGGCUGGGCAGCAGAACCUCCAGUGUGUCUCCAGCUGCUCCCCCCACACAGAAAAGGGGUUUUUGUGUUUUCCAAGUAUUUUUCUUGAGCACUUUCAUCUCCUUUAGGAUAUCAAGUGUGCUGCCAUGCCCAAGGGUGCAUAGGCUCUUGUCUCAGCAAGGAUUGGCUGCCCUAGAGUGCUUCCAGCCUAGCAAGAGAGGUGUGGGGUAAUGAGAAAUCAGCCAUCCUGGCUCCAGAGGAGCUGCUCACUGCAGCUCCUUCCUGCCAGCAUCCGACAGAUGUUUCACAACCUCAGGCCAAGCUGUCAUUGCCUCAGGAAACAUUUCUGGUCUCCUGCCUAAAUCUUCCUCAUGGCAUUUUCAGUCCACUGCUUCAUUCCAUGCCACCUGUGCAUGUGGGGAAAAUUUAUUCUUCUUUUAUAGAAUCUGUAAGGUUGGAAAAAACUGCUAAGAUCACCAGGCCAGUAGCUGCAGUUUUGUGUCUGUGGCGUGUUACAUGUGGGGAAAUGGCCGCUUCCUCCCUUGCCCCAAAGCAGAUGCAACGGAUGCAUCUGGUGUUGGAAUGAAACCUCUGCCACAGGGAUGGGGCCACACCCUUUGUGCCCUCACUUACAGAGCUCCUUGGAAAGUGCUGAGACAGGGAAGAGCUGUGGCUUCGGAGACUGCUGAGACACAGCACAAACACUCCUGGAACCCGGGGACCCGUCUGCCUGACCACCAGCACAUCCUGCAGGGACAAAGGAACAACAAGACCACCUUGCUCUGUGCCAUCUUUUAAGGCUCUGCCAUUCCCUGACUGAUGGCAGGAGCACUGCUGGCAUCCUGGAGUGCUGCGUGAUGCUUACCUCAUCCUCGGGCUGUGUCUGCAGGAGGAGGAGGGGAGCAGGGCAGGAUAAUGAGCGGAUUACUUACAGCCAGCCUCCCUGAGCCCUGCAGCUCAUCUGUGUGCUCUCAGAGCCGGGGGCGGAGGGGAGGACUGGGGAGGGAUAAUUUAGGAACAUGAGGCUGGGAAGUGAUUUAAUUAGGACGUGGAGCUGCUCUCUCCUGGGUGCAACACACCACCCCCUUCCAGUGCUUGGGGCUCCCCUUUUCCUCCCCCCAGCAUGGACAAGGCUCAACUUUGCAAGCAGCUGCUUAUUCCAGUUAUUAAACUGUGCACCUGCGACUCCUGCUCCCCUGUGCUUUCCCAAAUAAGAGCCCAGCAAUCCCUGUGGGUUCCACUAGCCAGUCAUCUCUGUAAGAGCUCCUGCAGCCCAGACAUCUCUGCAGCUCCCACUGGUCCUGUCCCCAGGGCUGCAUGGGCUGCAGCAGUGAUCCUGUACCCUGAAGCCCCAAAAAUCAUCACUGGCUCAGUCCUUGUGUCCAUCCCUGGAGCAUCCCUGAGUUGCACCUGGGGCUAAGGUCCACAGGCAUGGUUACUCACUGCCAUUUAAUGUGGCAGCCCCAACACUGAUUUUCUCUGUAGUACAAAUCCCAUGUUAUUUCCCUCUGGAUUUGCAUUUCUCCUUGUCCUGCUGCACCUGCUUUUUGGGAACUGUCCUCCCAGGGCACAACAAACCAGCACUGCCCUGCCAGCUGCUCUCCAAGUCCAGCAGCAUCACUGGAGAGGCUCAGCCAGCCCACUCCCAUGCUCUCUGUGGGGAUUAUCAUCCAGGACUCACAUUAACCCUCUUAAUCCAGCCCAGAGCACGUGUGCCAGAGCCGCUCCUGCCCCAUGGCCCAUAAAGCCCUUCCCAGUUCCUGGAGCCCCAGCACUGGCCACUCCAGCACUGACCCACACACCUCCCUGCAGUCUGGAAACAGAUUGAUUUCCUGCAGCCUGACUACAUCACUGCCAUGGCUCUCAGAAAAUAGAGGACUUUAUUUAUAUUUUUAAGGUAAUUUGGAGAAGGAUACUGCCCUGCAAAACAGGUGUAUGGUCAGUCACAGGGAAGCAGCAAGUAGCUGCUUCUGGAGCUCCAUGAAACAGAGUUCUGGGAGCUGCACAUGAGAAUGGUUUCAUUUUACAUCUGUUUGGAAUCGAGGGUAUGGAUGGGGCAGCCAGUGUUUUCUCUUACAAUUACAGGCUGCCAUCUUAAAGCCUGCUGAAUAUUUGUUUGGAUUUUUUUUUUCUCUGCUGAUACAAUUUUCAGGAACAAAUUCCUGUAGAAGGGCUGUCUGGGUGCCAGUGGCUGCUGCCAUCCCCCUUUUCUUCUGUGUAGAUUAAGGAGUAGUCAAUUAAAAAUCAAUUAAUACA